UACAGAGGGUGCAAGCGUUAAUCGGAAUUACUGGGCGUAAAGCGUGCGUAGACGGUUGCGUAAGUCAGAUGUGAAAGCCCCGGGCUCAACCUGGGAAUUGCAUUUGAGACUGCGUAGCUAGGGUGCGGAAGAGGGAAGCGGAAUUUCCGGUGUAGCGGUGAAAUGCGUAGAUAUCGGAAGGAACACCAGUGGCGAAAGCGGCUUCCUGGUCCAGCACCGACGUUCGGGCACGAAAGCGUGGGGAGCAAACAGG
rnacentral:rRNA from 1 species